AAGUAUUCGUAUGCGUAUGUCUAAAGCAGGUUGACUCGCUUUAUGGAUGUAAUAAACACAAUCGAAUCUGUGUAUUCCUCCAAGUUUAAGGCCUGGCUUAUCUUGACUCGAUUUUAAAUUUCACCUCCGGCUUAUGAGUUGCUCGUCUGGGAGAAAACAGUCUUCUUAACAAUGUCGGGCGAGUUACAUAUUAUGCCUGGAGUGAAUAUCGUAACCAAGGACCAUGUUCACGAUCACGACUGGGAUUGGGACGACGAUGAUUUUGAUUGGGAAGACGAUUGGUGGUGGGUGGUGCUCAUUUUUGUGGUGGUGAUCGCUAUUAUUGGUAUUGGUUUGUGUCUUUGGAGGCGCUGUGAAAGGAAGAGGGCUUUACGACGAUCCUAUGACCAGUCUGACCAUCCUCGAAUUCAUCAAGACAAUGAAAUGAGUCGACCGGUUACACGAGGGGGUAUGCCACCCCCCUUGCCAAAAUACGGCAAGACAACACCUCAAAAUGAGGUUUGGACACCAAGCGCUCCGCAAGUUUACCCCAGUAUCCCAACCAUUAUCAUUGAUGAACCUCCAUCAUAUGAGGAAAUCAUCUCGAAUUAAAUGAUUCAAAAUCACUUGAGUAUUGAUCAUAGUUGAAAUCAGUCAUCAUGUACGCUGUUUACCGAUUGAACGCAUAAAAGUUACAUCACAUUCCUUCACUCGGGCCAAAAUAUUCGUUCGAAGUAAUCAGUCAUGUUAUGACUAGUUCACAUUGCCUCAGUUUUGAGUUGAUUAGCCUUAUCUUAAUAGUACGUUUCUCAAAUGGGAAACAAAGCAAAUUUUGAAGGGCCAAAGGAAUAUAAUAUAUGAAUCACUGCAAUCUUUGGCAACGCUCUUCACAACCGAAAACGUACUGAAAGCCAGUAUGAAAAAAAAUCUUAGCCCUUGAACCUGGCGACUAACAUGGAAAACAAUUCAUUUAUAUUCUAAUCCAAAAUGCGCCAGGUGAAUGGAAGUCUGAGGACCAAGAAUACCAGUGAAGUAAAAAAAUCCUCUACCCAAGUUGGUGCCAACGAAUCUCCUCCGCACUAAAAAGACCCACGAGGUGCUGACUGAGAAGAAGAAGAAGAAGAAGAAGAAGAAGAAGAAGAAGAAAGAGGAGGAGGAGGAGGAGAGGGAGAGAAGAAGAAGAACAAAACCAUGCAAACCAAGCUGUAAUCUUAACACGCACUCCCUCCCCAGUUUCCAAAGCACGUAUCAGCCAGCAACCCAGCAUUCCACUCGGCCUCUUUCUACCUGAGACUCAAACCCAAAUGGAGAGUCAGCUUUAAAGGCAGACUUCCAAAUCGAUCGUGUGGGGCUGUGUUUUUCACAAGGGUCUUUUCAGGGAAGAGGGGAGGGGAGAGAAGACAACUGACUCUGAUAAAAGUGUCAUUAACUUCUCUCAAAGUGAAAAAUUGUCAUUUGAACCAUUGGUAUCUGUCGAAUCUGAAAUGCUUCACAAAAGGGAACUUGGGCAGAGCCAAGAUGUCGUCGUUAUGUAUGAACCCAAUGCUAGGGUUCUUGCACGAAAACGUUCUUGUCAUGAACAUUGAACAAGGGCCUCUUUCUUAAUGUGUAUUGUGCGAUCUUACUUGCUCGUAGUAUGGUUUGUAGAGAAAUUGCGGGAAGCUGACAUGGUAGCCGAUCUCGAGGAUAUCGUGACCACUUGCCAAAGCGAAAUGGACGUAAGAAGAGAUUGGCGCCAAUCUUCAUCUUGCGAACAACAUGAAGGACCACUCAACCACUGGAGCUUCUGUGUUGACGCAAUGAUCGGGCCCUUUUCAAACCACUAGUUGGGUAUUCCAUGGUGGAUUUGAACCACCAUCUCAACUGAUGUUCUCACUCCAGAGAAUGAGUGGUCCCUGACAAGGUUCAAUAAAAGGCUCCUUCGACUUGACAUGGACUGCCGAGAUUAUUCUCGGUUGUAAAUGUGCACUCACCAUGUGAAAACGAGCGCUAGCUCAAGACAACCAAAUGGUCACUGGUUUGAAUCAAGACCAGACUGUACGGUUCCAUAUCAAAGUGGGUUUAGGAGUCAGGCAAAAGUUCACGCACCUCAACGAUCGCGUCCAAAGUUCAAUUGAGAAUGUAGGGUUCCAGCAUUUUGCAAAUUCCACCUCUCCUAGUUGGAGAUGGCGAACGACAGGCAAAAAAUUGGGCUUUCAAAGAGAGACUUGUCUUUUGGAGAAGCCAAAAAAGCCUGUAAUGUCACGGAAAUUUAGUUGGAGCAAGUGUAAACGAACCCUAAUUGCUGGGUUCUUGAGCAGGAAGAAAAAGAACCUUUGAAACUCAUCUUGACAGGCGAAGGUGUUCUUAUUGUCCAUAGAGCACGGCUAAAUGGGUGAAUUCACAAUUCCUCUCAAGUCACCGAUUUGAUCUUCAGGAAGUCCUUGGCGAGAUCACUUGGUCCUUUUCAGUAUCCUCCACCAAGACCAGAUGGUGGUGUAUAUUGGCGUUUGGAAAGCGAGUUGUGCCAGUCAUGCCUCACUUUGGUCGAUGUAUCCUGACUUGAUGGAGUUGGAAGUGAACAUUACGCACUGUGCAUAAGGUAGAACUCGGAAGGUUCGAAGACUCGGAUGCCAAUUUGAGGCACAAUACUUGAGUAUCUUUUGGUUCGGACGCGAGCGAAAGGAAGCCUUAAUCACAUAUAAUUGGAAUAGUGCUCUUGAAUAUUUGAAUCGCACUCAUUUCUUGGACCGCAACGAACGAGGAAAGGGAGGUCCAAAAAAGGCAAUCUACCUGGACCAAUCGCUCUUGUUAUUCAGCUCGAUACAGGUGACAGUUAGUUGUUCAAUUCGUCUUUGGACAUUCCUCGGAAGAAGUGAAUUGAACCGAAUCAAAGAGGUCAACUGGAUUCAUACAUACCUGGAGCUCUUUUCUCAUUACAGAAGACCCGUCACGAAAACGGGUUCAUCUCGGCGUCAAAAAGGUCUCCUCUACCCAGAGGUCGACAUGCUCGAUUAGAAAAACCCUCACUUGUCUGUUUGAACACGAAAUGUUGAAAGGCACAAAUAAAUUUUCAUUUCAGA